UUUAGAGUUGAUUCUUGGCUCAGGACGAACGCGGCGGCCAUGCCUAAUCCAUGCAAGUCGAACGCUGAAGCACUCUGCUUGCAGAGUGGCGGAUGAGUGGCGAACGGGGUGAGUAACACGUGGGAAAAUCUGCCUAGGAGUGGGGGAUAACAUUCGGAAACGGAUGCUAAUACCGCAUAUCUUUUUGAACCGCAUGGUUCUUAAACGAAAGACGGCUUCGGCUGUCGCUCUUAGAUGAUCCCGCGGCGUAUUAGUUAGUUGGUGGGGUAAAGGCCUACCAAGACCAUGAUACGUAGCCGACCUGAGAGGGUGAUCGGCCACACUGGGACUGAGACACGGCCCAGACUCCUACGGGAGGCAGCAGUAGGGAAUCUUCCACAAUGGGUGAAAACCUGAUGGAGCAAUGCCGCGUGAAUGAAGAAGGUCUUCGGAUCGUAAAGUUCUGUUAUUAGAGAAGAACAAGUCAAGGAGUAACUGUCUUGACUUUGACGGUACCUAACCAGAAAGUCACGGCUAACUACGUGCCAGCAGCCGCGGUAAUACGUAGGUGACAAGCGUUGUCCGGAUUUAUUGGGCGUAAAGGGUUCGCAGGCCGCCUUUUAAGUCAGAUGUGAAAGAUCACAGCUUAACUGUGGUAAGCAUUUGAAACUGAAAGGCUUGAGUUAAGGAGAGGAAAGUGGAAUUCCUAGUGUAGCGGUGAAAUGCGUAGAUAUUAGGAGGAAUAUCAGUGGCGAAGGCGACUUUCUGGACUUAUACUGACGCUGAGGAACGAAAGUGUGGGUAGCAAACAGGAUUAGAUACCCUGGUAGUCCACACUGUAAACGAUGAGUGCUAGGUGUCGGGGG
rnacentral:rRNA from 1 species